rnacentral:rRNA from 1 species
AGGGAUUGGCAUGGGCGAAAGCCUGAUCAGCCUGCCGCGUGUGUGAAGAAGGCCUUUUGGUUGUAAAGCACUUUAAGCGAGGAGGAGGCUACUUGGAUUAAUACUCUAGGAUAGUGGACGUUACUCGCAGAAUAAGCACCGGCUAACUCUGUGCCAGCAGCCGCGGUAAUACAGAGGGUGCGAGCGUUAAUCGGAUUUACUGGGCGUAAAGCGUGCGUAGGUGGCCAAUUAAGUCAAAUGUGAAAUCCCCGAGCUUAACUUGGGAAUUGCAUUCGAUACUGGUUGGCUAGAGUAUGGGAGAGGAUGGUAGAAUUCCAGGUGUAGCGGUGAAAUGCGUAGAGAUCUGGAGGAAUACCGAUGGCGAAGGCAGCCAUCUGGCCUAAUACUGACACUGAGGUACGAAAGCAUG